UUGUAAAAUGGAGACUAAAGAAAAACGAAAAAUUGUGUGAUUAAGUGAAUGGAUGAAACGACAACCUUACUAGAUAUCCUAAGAGAUGGUGAAUGGACCAGGUACAAUAGGGAACCCUACUGUGAACGUUGUCUCAUACCGGAUGGGGUAUCGAGACUUGAUAAUUUGGCGCUCAUACUAGACGAGGUAUGGAGACGACCCAUUUUACCCUCAUACCGGAUGCAAUAUUGAGGUUUAAUAAUUUGGCACUCAUACCGGACGGAGUAUGAAGAUGGCUCGUUAAUUGAAAAUAUUAAAGAAAAAAGUUCACGCGUAGCAGAGACAUCCCUAUGAACCCCCAUGGAUACCAGCAAGCUAAUGAAAAGGGACAAUUGUUGUUUGAUUUAUUGAAUAUGGAUUUAUAAUGUGUGCAUGUUACCGAUUACACAUGAAAUCAUGAUAAGUGCUAUGUUAUUGUCUCUAU
rnacentral:lncRNA from 1 species